GGGGAUGUAGCUCAAUUGGUUAGAGCGCUGGCCUGUCUCGCCUGAGGUUGCGGGUUCGAACCCCGUCAUCUUCG
rnacentral:tRNA from 1 species